rnacentral:lncRNA from 1 species
GCUAAAAGCAGCUGUCAGUGUAUCCUUGGCUAUCCUAGAAAUGACUCAUGGAAAAAAAAAAAAAAAAAAAAAAACCAAAGCAGUGGAGUGUUUUCAGGAAAACCCAGUUGGCACACAUGCUUACACCCUCUUUCCUCACACUCCCCUUCUAAAGACUUCAGUGCCAAAGGAGACAAACACUCAAUGGAAAAGCAGGAACCAGAAAGAAGGUAGGUAACAACUGCAUUGUCUACUCUUCCACAGGCUGCUUCUAGUGCAUCACACACAACUUAGUCAUCCUCAGUGCAACUUGACUCAUUUACCAAAAUACAUGCAUUUCAGCUCUGUGCAUCCAAGACAGGCAAAGCAGCAUAAUUAUAGCAGGAGCCUGCAUUUAUUUCAAGAUAAAAUGAGAUGAAAGCUAGACCCUGCCACAUGUAACAGCAAGAUUAUAAGGGAAGAGCUUGUCUUUUCAUACAGAUGGAAAACAACAGGGUCAAGAGAGCUCAAAGGCUGUGGUGGCGGGUAGGGCAGUUUCAGAGCAUGGCCCUUCAAGAAGUCAAUACCCUUGAAGCUGUGCAUGAGAGGUACAAACCAAAUCCUAGGGCUUAAUCAAACCUAAGGUGGUUAUGACUUAAGAAAAAAUUUUAAGGGGUUUUUGCUAUGCCGUCCAAGUUGGUUCUGAAUUCCUGGGCACAAGCCACUCUCCCAAUCAGCCUCCCGAUUGGCUGGGACUAGGAAUGUGUGCCAUGACACCCCCAGCUGAGGUUAUAACUUCUGAAAUCAGAGUUGUUACAGAGAAAAAGGUCCAGGUACUCAAGUCUUAACUGAAACACUUUCCCCCCUCACGGAACACUACCAAAUGGCCUCAUUAAAGAAUGC